GAAGCUCCGCACACCGCGGGUGUAUUAAGUUGUUUUUCGUAAUUUAUUUCUACUCUAAACACUCUACUUCGUACUAAAUCGAAGUAUAAGCGGUCAGGCACUUCAAUAAUGCGUCUUUUUCGGACUUUCUUCGUGGUCUUCAUCGCUUUUGGAGCACUUUUAUCAUGCCGCGUCUCGGCCGUGACGGAAACACGCCAGGGCUCCAUUGUUUACACCAGGGAUCAGCUGAUGAGUCUCCAGCACAGCGGGAUGUAUGGCCAGCGACACGAAAUCCCCAAAGAACUAAGAAGGAAACAACGUGGAAGCAGAGGGGGCAAAAGAAGACAGCUGAGGAAAAGAAGAUACAAGCCGUAUCUUCCUUCUAUCGUCAUGGGUAAUGUUAGAUCACUGGGUAAUAAGAUGGAGGAGUUAACAUCUCUCACAAAGAGCGAGUGUGUGUUUCGUGAGGCGUCUGUAAUGUGCUUUACAGAGACGUGGCUGCACGCAAACAUACCGGACUCUACCGUGAGUUUAGCCGGCUUUCAGUUGGUACGGGCGGACAGGAACUGCACCGAGAGCGGCAGGAAGAAAGGAGGGGGACUUGCGCUCUACGUGAACAACCGGUGGUGCAGCCCGGGACACGUUACGGUAAAGGAGCGUGUGUGCAGCCCGGACAUUGAACUGCUAGCGGUGAGUCUACGUCCAUAUUAUUUGCCCAGAGAGUUCUCUCACGCCAUUGUACUCGUUGUUUACAUUGCUCCCUCGGCUGAGGCGUCGCGGGCUACUGACGUCAUCAGCUCUGCGACCGCGAGGCUUCAGACCCAGCACCCUAAUGCCUUCAUAGCGAUCUCUGGCGAUUUUAACCAUGUUAAUCUGAAAUCAACUCUGCCCACUUUCAAGCAGUUUGUGGACUGUAAAACAAGAGAAAAUAAAACUCUAGAUUUACUGUAUGCUAAUGUUAAAGAGGCAUACAGCUCCAUAGCUCUCCCUCCCUUGGGCAGAUCAGACCAUAGCCUAGUCCACCUCAAACCCCAGUAUAUACCAGCAGUACAGCGGCAGCCGGUGACCACCAAAACUGUACGGAGGUGGACACCGGAAGCCCUGGAGACCCUGCAGGGAUGUUUUGAGGUGACUGACUGGGAUGUGUUCUGUGACACCCACGGUGAGGAUGUAGACACACUCACAGACUGUAUCACAGAAUAUGUUAAUUUUUGUACAGAUUCUUUAAUCCCCACCAGGUCAAUACGCUGCUUUCCAAACAAUAAACCAUGGGUGACAAAGGACAUCAAGGCAUCACUCAACAGAAAGAAGACAGCCUUCUUGAGUGGAGACAGAGAGGAGAUGAGGAGGGCCCAGGCAGAGGUGAAGGAGAAGAUUGGAGAGGGCAAGGAGAGCUACAGGAGGAAGCUGGAGAGCCAACUUGCCCGGAACAACUUGAGGGAGGUAUGGAGUGGCAUGCGAAC
rnacentral:lncRNA from 1 species